GAAAUUCAGUAUCCCGGGAAUUUAAAAACAGCCCAAGUGAUAUGCCAGUGCGAGGCUAUCGUACGUCAUCUUGGAGUGACAGUUAACAAUACCAGUAUGAAAAAAGAGAGUAUUUUACAGUACUUCAAGAAACAUCGGAUGGUGGUUCUUCCCUCAGCCUGUCUCCUGGAGUGAGGGCAAGCCGCAGAGUCCCCAGCUCAUCUGAGAUGAUCACGCAGCUGGAGAGCUGGAGAGUGAUGACUUAUCUUCCCAGAUAGAGAGGCUCAAGUGAUGAAUCAACGUGGGGGUUAUUGCGUCUGAAAUGCAAGAACAGAAGAAGAACUCACUUGGUUUCCAGGCCUGCCUUCCAGCUGCCUACAACAGAACCUCUUACCUUGGACUGCUUUGGAUAAGCACAGACUCAAGAGUCAUUGGAACACA